rnacentral:lncRNA from 1 species
AGGGCGGCUAGCUACUCGACAAGUCGUCAGCGCGGCUGCGCCGCAGGAGCCCGGGAGGCCUUUCGCCCGAGGCGGGCUGCGGGCUGCGGGGGUCUGGUGCGGAGGGCCAACUUCUGGGAAUAACCUGGCUGUGGGCUUAAAAAUCGUAGUCAUUCAUUAUCACGGGCUUCUCUCUCUCGAAUACCUUUAACAUUUAUCGCCUUGUUAGUCUCCACAUCCACCUCCGUGAAAGAGAUGGAGUCUCGCUACAUUUCCCAGUCUGGCCUCAAACUCCUGAUCUUAAGGGAUCCCCAGCUCAACCUCUCCCAGCAGCUGGGACUACCGGGC